rnacentral:rRNA from 2 species
UUGACCUCGGAUCAGGUAGGACUACCCGCUGAACUUAAGCAUAUCAAUAAGCGGAGGAAAAGAAACCAACAGGGAUUGCCCCAGUAACGGCGAGUGAAGCGGCAACAGCUCAGAUUUGGAAUCUGGCCCCCAGGGCCCGAGUUGUAAUCUGGAGAGGAUGCUUCUGGCGCGGCGCCUUCCGAGUUCCCUGGAACGGGACGCCGGAGAGGGUGAGAGCCCCGUACGGUUGGACGCCUAGCCUUUGUGAAGCUCCUUCGACGAGUCGAGUAGUUUGGGAAUGCUGCUCAAAAUGGGAGGUAAAUUUCUUCUAAAGCUAAAUACCGGCCAGAGACCGAUAGCGCACAAGUAGAGUGAUCGAAAGAUGAAAAGCACUUUGAAAAGAGGGUCAAACAGUACGUGAAAUUGUUGAAAGGGAAGCGCCCGUGGCCAGACUUGUGCCCCGCGGACCACCCGGCGCCCUCAGCGCCGGUGCACUCCGCGGGGCGCAGGCCAGCAUCGGUUUUCCUAGGGGGAUAAAGGCGGCGGGAACGUGGCUCCUCCGGGAGUGUUAUAGCCCGCCGUGCCAUGCCCCUGGGGGGACCGAGGACCGCGCUUCGGCAAGGAUGCUGGCGUAAUGGCCACCGGCGACCCGUCUUGAAACACGGACCAAGGAGUCAAGCAUUGGGGCGAGUGUCUGGGUGCCAAACCCGCACGCGAAAUGAAAGUGAACGCAGGUGAGAGCUUCGGCGCAUCAUCGACCGAUCCUGAUGUUCUCGGAUGGAUUUGAGUAAGAGCCUUACCGCUUGGACCCGAAAGAUGGUGAACUAUGCCUGUAUAGGGUGAAGCCAGAGGAAACUCUGGUGGAGGCUCGCAGCGGUUCUGACGUGCAAAUCGAUCGUCAAAUAUGGGCAUGGGGGCGAAAGACUAAUCGAACCAUCUAGUAGCUGGUUACCGCCG